UUAGUACCCUGGUCUACUACACCUACCAAUAUUACUACAGGUUAGUACCCUGGUCUACUACACCUACCAAUAUUACUACAGGUUAGUACCCUGGUCUUCUACACCUACCAAUAUUACUACAGGUUAGUACCCUGGUCUACUACACCUACCAAUAUUACUACAGGUUAGUACCCUGGUCUACUACACCUACCAAUAUUACUACAGGUUAGUACCCUGGUCUUCUACACCUACCAAUACUACUACAGGUUAGUACCCUGGUCUACUACACCUACCAAUGUUUCUACAGGUUAGUACCCUGGUCUUCUACACCUACCAAUAUUACUACAGGUUAGUACCCUGGUCUACUACACCUACCAAUGUUUCUACAGGUUAGUACCCUGGUCUACUACACCUACCAAUAUUACUACAGGUUAGUACCCUGGUCUACUACACCUACCAAUGUUUCUACAGGUUAGUACCCUGGUCUACUACACCUACCAAUAUUACUACAGGUUAGUACCCUGGUCUACUACACCUACCAAUAUUACUACAGGUUAGUACCCUGGUCUACUACACCUACCA